rnacentral:piRNA from 1 species
UACCACUUUUAUUAGGUUGAACGG